AGGGCCAACAGAAAGCAGUGGAAAUCGAUCCUGUGUCUAUAGACCAUGACGAUCCCAUCCUCUUAAGACAAAGAGAAGAGCAAGGAGUGGAGGCCCCAGCUGUGAUCCAAAAUGAAAAGCUUUGUCAGUGGACAUCACCGAACCAAGUUACCGUUGUACCCAGAGGUAUCCCCAGUAGGGGGUAUCUUUCUUCAUACCUGAAGGUAGUCUGGCAAGCCCAUUUUACACACCUGGAGCUCUUUAAGCAGUAACAGACUCAUGUCACCCACCCCCUUCCUAUAUUCUCUUGUCUGCCCUUGAGAAGGAUCCCACACCGAGUUUAAGACAACCAGCUCCUUAACACUAACCUUGACCAUGUCCUGUCCAUGUUUGCUGUCUAUCAUGUAAGCACUCAGUAAGUACUUCUCAAAUAAACGAUUAGAACAUUUUAUGGGCUAAA